rfam:Ectocarpus siliculosus strain Ec 32, whole genome shotgun sequence assembly, unassigned sequences LGTn
GCAUGUGUUGCGGAGUGGUUAAACGCGCCAAGCUUAAGACUUGGUACCUUCGAGUUUCGUGGGUUCGAACCCCACCGCAUGCA